AAAAUAAAAUUAAUGAGGAUUUAAAUAAAUUUAUCAAGUGUCGAGCGUACGUGAAGAAAAAAAUAAAAAAUGCAAAUAUGAAACGUGGAAUAGGAAUUAAUAUAUCCGAGGAGGAAAGUUGCGAAGGCGCUUGCUGAUAGUUGUCGCAGCACUACAGCGUUUGACAACGAAAAUCCCGAGAGCUGAAAAAAAAAAUCCAAAAUUUUUUGAAU